AUAUAUGUAUAUUAUAAUAAGUAUAAUAUCCCAUAAACAUCGUAUUUUCUUAUCUUUUUGUUUCAUCUAAUAGCUGGGAGUUUGAUGUUCCGUUCGGUGCCCAUGGUGGAGACUGAUGAAAUGAAGCUGGUGCAGACCAGAGUCAUUCUCAGCCACAUUGCCACCAAAUGUGCCCUCCAUGGGAAGGACAUGAAGGAGAGAGGCACACAGUGAAGAAUUCCUGACUGUGCUGAAGACUCACCAGCUGUGUGUCACCUCCCUGCCAAUGUCAGGCCCUGCCUGCAUUGGGCUCCUGUCCUUGUAUCUCGAAGUAGCUGGUCUACAGAACAAGUCUACAGACUAUUGCCUGUGACAGACUAGGAAUCUCCAGUCUACUAGACUUUGAUAGACACCGUGUGUCCUUGAAAUUUUCCAAAAUACAGAGAACUUGAGGUAACCAUCAUGGCCAGCACCCAGGAAGACGACAUCCUUAAGAAGAAUUAUAAAUUUUUAACAUCUCUGGGGUGUGGUGCAUUUGGGGAGGUGAAUCUUGCCCAACACCUUCCAACGAAAACCCAGGUGGCUAUCAAGGUGCUUGAGAAAGAGUACAAUGAUGAGGAGUACAUCAGGUCUGAAGUUGCGAUCCAUAAGUCCCUGCAACACAGCAACAUCAUCCAGUUUUUCCAUGCUAUCAACAUGCUGACCACGUAUCUGGAGGAACUUCUGGUCCUAGCUUGUAGGAGAAACUGUCAGUCAGCCUUCCUAAGCCUUAGCUGUCCUGCCAAAACCAGCCUACCCAAGCCUCAGCCAUCCUGCCAAAACCAGCCCACAAGAGCAUGCAUGGAAGGAACUUCCUCCCUUAACCAGUCGAAGGCCUGCUGUUAUGCCCAGAGAGUGCUGACUAAUGGACACAUGACCGGAGAUGACAAUGAAGGAAGAACCACACCGAAGAAUUGGCCACCUGAGCCAAUGGGACCUUGGGACGGGAUAUGAGAGGCCUGGCCAUACCCUCAAUAAAGGAGUUGGCUUUUCAUAGU